ACGUCCAUACCAUACUGAAAACACCGAUUUUCGUCCGAUCACCUAAGUUAAGCAUCAUUGGUCGUGGUCCGUACUUGGGAGAGUGACCACCUGGGAACACUGCGUGCCGCUUG